AGGCGGCCCGGGCGCAGAGGCCCCGCCCCGCCUUGCACGCGGCGCGCGGAUCUGCGCCUGUGCAACCGGCAGCCCCCGUUCCGGCUGUGCGCAGCCUGGCGGGCCGAGCGCAGAGUUCCGUGAGCAAAGAUUGGGUCGGUGUGCAGCGCUGCGGCCGCCCCUUUGGCGCUAGAACUCGCGGAGGGACGGUGUGCUGGGCGGUUCUCGGUUUCCCAGCUUCCCUGCCCGCCCCUUCCCAAAUUUCCCAAGACUUCAACCUGAAAGCGUGUGAAGCUGAGUUUCUAGAGCCUUUGUCUCCAUGAGAAAGAGCCUGAGAAUAACUUUAUUGUAAAGGAAAUGGAGCCUGACAAUAUCAUUGGAGCACCUGGAGCCAGCCAAGCCUGAAGCCACUGUGUGUUUUUAUCAGCUGUUCAUUAUGACCAUUUUUAUACUUCACUCCUGAAGGAUAUUUAGCUUGUUUUGAGGCUUCUGCUGAUACCAACGAUGGGACAGUGAACUUCCUGGGUUGAAGGUAGAAUCUGCGUGUUCCCUUUUAUCAAGGACUGUACCACAACUACUGUGGAUUGAAGCACUCAUUACCCUACUUCCCCUUGAAGAGGGAAGGAGCUGGACACAAACUACCAAAUGAGAAGGCUUCCAGACUCAGGUUGAAUUACACCACCGGUUUUCCUGGGCCUCCAGCUUGCAUGUGACUAAUUGUGGGACUUCUCAGCCUCCGUAAUGAUAGACCCCUCUCCGUGAAUCCAGCACGAAAUGUCAAACCUACUUCAUCAUCACAAUCCUCUCCCUGAAGCUUUCCCUGUGGCUCUCUCUGUUGGAGUGGCUGACGCCCAAGCUUGGGAGAUGAACUUUUUCCACAUGAGUCAGAACUCAGUGGUUACUCCCUUGGUCUCAUCUCCUUCGAGGAAAGCCUGGCCAAUGAAUACCUCUUCUGUGAUCUCCAAACACCCUUUCUGCAUCUUUUCUUCGAACCAAGACACCAGCAUCUCACCUGCUAAGUUAUUCACAGACUUAAGCUACAAGCAUCUGAGCACCAUUGUGGACCCCGGCCUCACCUGGGGAUGUGGCAAGAGCCCCAAGAAGAAGGCAAUGAUGCUUCGAGGGAUAUGGGACCCUGGGCGCUGGGAUUUUUGGCCUCUCCAAGACGUUUCAAGUCCUAUGGAAGUAUCAGAGAACCCCCCAUAACAAGAAACCACUGAGACCUUGGACAAGGAUAUCGGCAGCAACCACAGGAGACUGGGGGUCGGAGACCCCUCCCCCCAUUUUCUGGCAUCAGUAGGCCUCCCUAGUUCUGAUGGGUCUCUGAGGUUGGGGUGUGGUAAAGUGGGUGAUGGGGGGGUACCUAACACUGAUGGAUGGCAUUUCCUACCAGUUCAGUGAAAUGUGCAGGUUGGGGUGGAAUAAGGUGGGGAGUAGAGGAAAAUUGGAGUUGAAAUUAGUCUGUGCAAACUGUAAAAUGGGGAUAAUAAUAUUACCUCUCUCAUAGAGUUAUUAUGAGGAUUAAGUGAGAUAAAAAUACAAGUAAAUAAUUUAGAGUCUGACACAUAGUAAGCGUCCAGCAGAUGUUAGCUCCUAUUAUUACUAUUUAGCUUUUCCCUGUCUGCUGACCAGAGGUUAGCUGUUCCUGUUUUGUAUAAGUGACAUGCUGUGAAGUGGCUUUGCAUGUGAUGAGUCUUCUACUCCUCAUUUCACAUGUGUGAAAUGGGCUGACAGAAGAGACCAACAUGAACGGCUUCACCUUCACGGCCCCCAGCAGACGCAUCCCAGAGUCACCAGGGAGUCAUGUGAUGAAAGAUUGAAGGAUGGAGCGUCCGGGAGGGCUACUUGUGAACCGUUCUCACAGAGCCAGGCUCUGUGCCGUCUGCUCUGCCCAGUGGUCCCCAGCCCCUGCCCCUCCAUGGCCUAAUGGUCACUCGCUUUAAGUUUGGGGAAACUUAAAGCUGGGGUCCCUUAUCGGCAGGUUCUGGGGCAAUGGGUGGGGAGAGGCUGUGGAUCUCUGAAGUUCACAGACAGUCCCCACCCUCACACUCCUUUAUUUUCAAGUUGUGCUUAUGUGUUAAUUACAAAAGUAAACCAAACUCACUAUAAAAACAGCCAACACCACAGUGCGUAAAGGUAAAGGCAAAAAUUCUUCUCCAGCUGCUCCCCUGCCCCAGUCCACUUCCCAGACGUCAACCCUGUGACUAGACUAGUGGAGGCCACAGGUCCUGGGGGCCCUCUCACCCCGCUUCUGUCUAGGCCUUUAAUCCUGAGUCCUAAUGUGUGAGAGCCUCCGUUCUUUACACCUGCACACCCUCUAGUGUGGGUGCUUUGUAUAGGCGAGGUGAGGACACAGAGAUAGAGGCAGGUGGCAGGCAUGGCCCCUGUAAGUCAGGAUCUGAAUUCUUGGUCUCAACUAGGUCCACCAGACCUUGACUAGUGAGGUCGGCUUUUCUAACCCCAGUGCUGAGAGGAUAUUUGGAACA